UGCUCAGUAUUAGACGCGUGGCGGCAUGCCUUACACAUGCAAGUCGAACGGCAGCGCGGGAGCAAUCCUGGCGGCGAGUGGCGAACGGGUGAGUAAUACAUCGGAACGUGCCCAAUCGUGGGGGAUAACGCAGCGAAAGCUGUGCUAAUACCGCAUAAGAUCUAUGGAUGAAAGCAGGGGACCGCAAGGCCUUGCGCGAAUGGAGCGGCCGAUGGCAGAUUAGGUAGUUGGUGAGGUAAAGGCUCACCAAGCCUUCGAUCUGUAGCUGGUCUGAGAGGACGACCAGCCACACUGGGACUGAGACACGGCCCAGACUCCUACGGGAGGCAGCAGUGGGGAAUUUUGGACAAUGGGCGGAAGCCUGAUCCAGCCAUGCCGCGUGCAGGAUGAAGGCCUUCGGGUUGUAAACUGCUUUUGUACGGAACGAAACGGUCUCUUCUAAUAAAGGGGGCUAAUGACGGUACCGUAAGAAUAAGCACCGGCUAACUACGUG
rnacentral:rRNA from 1 species